rnacentral:lncRNA from 1 species
UGGCAAUGACUUAUGACUGUAAGCAUAGCAUAAGAACCAAGCACAGCAUUAUAUAAGCAAGAUAACUCCAUUGAAUAGCAUAAUGUCACACAAGGAAAUAAAGAUACAAGAGCCAUACCCUUAACUUCCAACAGGACUUGGGAGCCAAAGUAGAGCUUCUCUAGCUUGACUCCAAUAGCUUAGAGACUAAAUGAGGGAGAGAGUGAUUCUUCUUGGUGUGUGUUGGAAUGGAGACCGAUCCUGUCUAUUUAUAGAUGAGUGGAGGUGUUGGGAGGUCGGUAACCGACUAACCGUCAACAUGUGGCAGCUGGAGGCGUGAGGAUCCAGUGGCGGUUUCUAACGCCCGUAAAAUCUACCAACUCAAAUCACUCGCUAAAAAUUUAUUUCAAAAUUUUUCCGACCAUUGAGCUCCCGAGAAAUCUUUUCCUCCCCGUUGUCCCGUCACCCAGCGUGACAUCAUCUUUUUCUGUUCCCCAUAAUUUUCACCGCGUGCCCGUCAAAUCCAUCACGUGUGCCGGUCAAUUCUGCAACUUUCGCCGUUUUCCCCUCCCUUUUUCUUGUUCUUCCUCCUUUUUCCCCCGUUUUCUUUUUCUUCUUUUCCUUUCUCCUUCUUCCUUCUUUCUUCUCUCCUCCUUCUUCCUCCUUUUCUUCUCUCUCCUUCUUUUCUUCUUGGCGCUACUCCCCCUGGCGCCUGGCGCCCGGCGCCGCCCGCAUGGUGCCAUUCGCUUGGCGCCGCCCACCCACCCGAGCGCCUGCACCCGCACGCCCGCUUGGCC